UUCAUAACUGUGAAUGCAGUUGCAUUAAGUGCGAGGCUAUUUCCUUCUACAAAACUUUCGAUCUGCAAUUUUAAACACAUUUUGAUUUUAAUAUUGGAGGUGAGUUCCUUUUCGUGGCUUGUAAAGUGGUUAUUUUUGCGAAGUUUUGUUCUUCUCAAAUGUUUACCACUGCUGACAACCGGUUUUCCCGUCGUGAAACUACAUUUAAUACCGGUUUUCAGCUUUAUUUUUAGCGCGAAGUCAUGCUGUUCUGAUCAUUGCACAUCUAUCGGCCCAUUUUGUGGCUGAGAAACUUCGACUUUUAAUGUUGUUUCUGUACCCGUUGAUAUCGCGCAAAUAACAGCAUACUAAAUUUUAACUUGUGGUUAAAUAUAAACAGAUUUAUUGACAGACACAAUUUUGAGUCCAACUGACCCAUGCAACUCAUCGUUUAUUAACAUUUUUGCUUUUGAACCUAUUCAGAUGAGCCAAAAAAUAUACUUGUUUUUCUGAAUAGAUUUGGUCUAACUACCGUGUGAAAAGAACGGUAGGCCCAAAGACAAUUUUUUUCUCCUAAACUAAGCGCAUAAAGAUGUUCUCUCGUUACAUACAUAAAAAAGAUGUCCCAUUGCAAUAAAUACCAAGACAGGCUAAAAGUAAGAUGAACUAAAAUGUGAACCUAUUCAGAUGAGCGGCAGUACACAAAGAUAGUUCAGACACUGGAUUGGACACAAAAAGCUUAUGGAAACACAAUUUUUUUCAACUGAAAUCAACGCAUUCGACUGUUGCCGUUAGUAAAUGAUUCAUUAGCCCAAAAAAAGAGUCAAAUGGAUCCGAAUUUUGGCCAAACGU